AUGAAAUCUCUCAAAGAUGAAGUGAUAAAAGCAAAAAGAAGCUACUUGGAGGAAUACAAGUACUUUGGAAUCAAGCUCAAAGGUCUAGCUGAGGCUGCUGAUGAUUAUCAUGUUCUUGUAACAGAAAAUAGGAUAUUAUAUAAUGAAGUUCAAGAUUUUAAAGGAAAUAUCAGGGUAUAUUGUCGAAUUAGACCAUUUAUUUCUGGGCAAAGCCAGAAACAUACAACAGUUGAGUUUAUUGGUGAAAAUGGAGAACUAAUUAUUAGCAAUCCUCUUAAACAAGGAAACAGAAACCAGUAUAAAAAAAUUAAAAAAACAUAA